rnacentral:pre_miRNA from 1 species
UUUUUAGUAAAAGUAUGUCCCAUGCAAUAUAUGGGACAUACUUAUACUGAAC